rnacentral:tRNA from 1 species
GCGGGCGUGGCGAAAUUGGUAGACGCGCCGGGUUUAGGUCCCGGUCCUUCACGGGGUGGGGGUUCGAGUCCCUUCGCCCGCA